rnacentral:lncRNA from 1 species
CGUCAAAGAAGUAAGUAUAUUAUAUCAGAAUGGUCCUUAUCCAGAAAGGGUGUUUAUAACUUUAUAUUAAUUAUGUUGACAUAUACACACACUCAUAUUUUUAUAAACAUUUACAUUGCUCAUUUUUCUAUAGACUCGUGAAAACUUCAAUACAGAUCAAAUAAUCCCUAACCCCUUAAUAUAGCAACAAUAGUCAGCAUUUUGUUUGUUUGUUUUUUAAAGAAAAAUACAUUAUCAGGGUGGCAGGGUCAAAGGAGCUGUUUCUUGUCAUCUAUGGAAGGGUCCCGGCCCUUGAAGACCUCCCUGAGGAGC